GGCCAUAUCACAUUAAAACAGCGGUUCUCGUACAAUCACCGAGUUAAGUAACGACGAGCCUGGUCAGUACCUAGAUGGGUGACCGCUUGGUAAGACCAGGUGCUGUAAG